UACGAAGGGGGCUAGCGUUGCUCGGAAUCACUGGGCGUAAAGGGUGCGUAGGCGGGUCUUAAGUCAGGGGUGAAAUCCUGGAGCUCAACUCCAGAACUGCCUUUGAUACUGAGGAUCUUGAGUAUGGGAGAGGUGAGUGGAACUGCGAGUGUAGAGGUGAAAUUCGUAGAUAUUCGCAAGAACACCAGUGGCGAAGGCGGCUCACUGGCCCCAUUACUGACGCUGAGGCACGAAAGCGUGGGGAGCAAACAGG
rnacentral:rRNA from 1 species